rnacentral:rRNA from 1 species
UAGCAUAUCAAUAAGCGGAGGAAAAGAAACCAACAGGGAUUACCUCAGUAACGGCGAGUGAAGCGGUAACAGCUUCAAAUUUGAAAGCUGGCUCUUUUAGGGUCCGCGUUGUAAUUUGUAGAAGAUGCUUCGGGUGUGGCCCCGGUCUAAGUUCCUUGGAACAGGACGUCAUAGAGGGUGAGAAUCCCGUAUGUGACUGGGUGCUUUCGCUCAUGUGAAGCUCUUUCGACGAGUCGAGUUGUUUGGGAAUGCAGCUCAAAAUGGGUGGUAAAUUUCAUCUAAAGCUAAAUAUUGGCCAGAGACCGAUAGCGCACAAGUAGAGUGAUCGAAAGAUGAAAAGCACUUUGGAAAGAGAGUUAAACAGUACGUGAAAUUGUUGAAAGGGAAGCGCUUGCAACCAGACUUGCGCGCUGAUGAUCAUCCGGGCUUCUGCCCGGUGCACUCGUCUGCGCUCAGGCCAGCAUCGGUUUCGGUGGUGGGAUAAAGGCCUUGGGAAUGUGGCUCCUCUCGGGGAGUGUUAUAGCCCUCGGUGCAAUGCCGCCUACCGGGACCGAGGACCGCGCUUCGGCUAGGAUGCUGGCGUAAUGGUUGUAAGCGACCCGUCUUGAAACACGGACCAAGGAGUCUAACAUCUAUGCGAGUGUUUGGGUGUCAAACCCAUACGCGUAAUGAAAGUGAACGGAGGUGAGAACCCUUAAGGGUGCAUCAUCGACCGAUCCUGAUGUCUUCGGAUGGAUUUGAGUAAGAGCAUAGCUGUUGGGACCCGAAAGAUGGUGAACUAUGCGUGAAUAGGGUGAAGCCAGAGGAAACUCUGGUGGAGGCUCGCAGCGGUUCUGACGUGCAAAUCGAUCGUCAAAUUUGCGUAUAGGGGCGAAAGACUAAUCGAACCAUCUAGUAGCUGGUUCUGCA